rnacentral:rRNA from 1 species
AUUGAACGCUGGCGGCAUGCUUUACACAUGCAAGUCGAACGGUAACAGGCCGCAAGGUGCUGACGAGUGGCGCACGGGUGAGUAAUGCAUCGGAACGUGCCCAGUCGUGGGGGAUAACUACUCGAAAGAGUAGCCAAUACCGCAUACGAUCUAUGGAUGAAAGCGGGGGACCGUAAGGCCUCGCGCGAUUGGAGCGGCCGAUGUCAGAUUAGGUAGUUGGUGGGGUAAAGGCUCACCAAGCCAACGAUCUGUAGCUGGUCUGAGAGGACAACCAGCCACACUGGGACUGAGACACGGCCCAGACUCCUACGGGAGGCAGCAGUGGGGAAUUUUGGACAAAGGGCGCAAGCCUGAUCCAGCAAUGCCGCGUGCAGGAAGAAGGCCUUCGGGUUGUAAACUGCUUUUGUACGGAACGAAACGGCUCUGGUUAAUACCCGGGGCUAAUGACGGUACCGUAAGAACAAGCACCGGCUAACUACGUG